rnacentral:rRNA from 1 species
GACGAGGGGUCCUAGCGUUGUUCGGAAUUACUGGGCGUAAAGCGCACGUAGGCGGCUUUGUAAGUUAGAGGUGAAAGCCCGGUGCUCAACUCCGGAAUUGCCUUUAAGACUGCAUCGCUAGAAUUGUGGAGAGGUAAGUGGAAUUCCGAGUGUAGAGGUGAAAUUCGUAGAUAUUAGGAAGAACACCGGUGGCGAAGGCGGCCCACUGGCUCGACACUGACGCUGAGGUGCGAAAGCGUGGGGAGCAAACAGG